AAGGCGCUCGUGGAGCAAGUUAAAAAUGGCUGAUGAUAUACGAAUGCAUUUGCGAAUCGCGAGUCGAUUCGUGUUCUUCGGUCGUUACUUUUUGUGAUUUUCUCACGUGUAGUGGUAUUUCUUUGCUGUGUUUGUAAAAUAUUAAUAAUAUUAAUUCAAAUUUUUCCGUAUAUAACAAAUUAUUGGAAAGGAACAAAGGAAAUAAAAUAUUCGGAAUAUUUUAACGAAAGUUCCCGAAGGUGAUUCAUUGUCUAACUGAAUUUUUAGCUUAGAAAGAUCGUGUUUUGGAGAAAAUUCUUACUAUUACGAAUAAAAUUUUAAUUAAAUAUGACUGAAGAACACCAAUUGCCCUCUGAUUCUGAUGAAGAUGAUGAAGAUUAUAUUCCCGAUGGUGCAGACAGUGAGCCAGUAUCUGAAGUAGAAUCUGAAGGUGAUGCAGAGAGUGGUCCUGAAGAAGAGAAUGAUGAAAACCAAAGAGAAACGAAGAACAUUAAGAAAAGAGGAAGGAAGAAAAACAAAGUUAUAAAAUCUAAAAUUAGAAAGCGUAGAAGAACAAGGAAAAAGAUAACAGAGGAUAAGGAUGAUGAAAAAGAGGAAAAACAACAAAAAGAAGAAUCUAUUGAGAAAAAAGAACUUACCGAAGAAGAGGAGAAAAAAAGGGCCGACUCUCUUUGGGCUGAUUUUAUGAAAGAUACAGCAAUGACACCAAAACCUAAGCAACAAAAUAUAACGAAUAAAUCUAAAGAGAGAUCCCCAUCUAUAGAAAAGCCAAAAGCGGAAGAAAAAGUAAAAAUAACUAAAGUAUUUGAAUUUGCCGGUGAAGAAGUAAAAGUAGAAAAAGAAGUCUCUAUAGAUUCAGCAGAAGCAAGAAUAUCUCUAUCCUCCGCUGAGAAUUCUGAGAAAACAGGAAAUUCUGGAUCUCUCGCGGGUAGAGGAUCUGGAAGAGGUAGAGGUUUCAAACGAGCUGGUUUAGGAGGUAUUUCUUCUGUCCUUGGUCAAUUAGGGAAGAAGGCGAAAAUUAGUACGUUAGAAAAAUCCAAACUAGAUUGGGAUAAUUAUAAGAAACAAGAGAAUUUGGAGGAAGAAAUUAGUACUCAUAACAAAGGCAAGGAUGGAUAUUUAGAACGUCAAGAUUUCUUACAAAGAGCAGAUUUGCGGCAAUUUGAAAUUGAAAAACAAUUACGUAAUGCAAACAGACGUAGUACACGGUGAAUUUAUAAUUUUAUGUAUAUAUAUUUUAUAUAUAUAUAUCUUCCUUAAUAAUGAGAACCAGAAAUGGUAUUGAGAAAAAUAUCUUAUUAGAAUUGCCAAUUAUUGGCGCUUGUAGCACAUAUUUACUCGAAUUGUUUAAACUCUUACUAAAUAUCUCAUGCCAUGUAUAAAAAUGUGAUUGCCUCGCUUGGCUUGACAAUCGGCUGGAUCUGGUUAAGAAACGGUUGAGAGCCAAUUCUGUGAGAAGAGACUGAUCAUUCCAAUGUAUCGAAGAUAAUAUAGUACGUUAUGUAAUAGUCUAAUGUAUCAUCUGCGAGCGUUGUCUCGAGCCAUUAUAUCACAGAACUUCGCAUCGAAGCAGGAUGUUUGAAGCUUGGUGCUUCGGAGACCGACGAUAUAUAUUCUAACAAUAAACAAGCUCCAGAGAUGUUUUUAUUCCAUUUCAGUGGAAGAAAGGAUGAUUGAUGACAGUGUAGAUUAGUAAAAUCAAUGCUCCGUUUCAAUCGUAUAUAUACGAUAUAAAGAGAAGAAAAUCGAGAAUGUAUAAUCUCUACGAAUAAUUCGAAACAAGAACGUGUAACAAGAAUGUCGCAACGAGAAAUUCAAGUCUUACGAAAAAGAAGAAGAAGAAAAGACGAAAAAUCUUGUUCGAACCUUUGUAAGUUUCUCCUUUAAAAAAGAAAUAAAAGAACAAUUUUCUUCCUUCCAUCUCAUCACGCGAGAAACAUCUAUUAAAAUCCACCUUGCGAUCUUUUCGUAUACGAAAAUCGAAUACAAUUAAACGAGUCGCGAAUUUUUCAAGCGCCUCGGGCAACGUUGCCUUUUUUCUCUUUCUUUUCCCCUUCUUUCUGAAUGAUCCUGGAAGGUGUCGCGAGCGUCGUAAAGUCGAAUUACCGAUUGCACGCGGCGAGGAGGAUGAAGGAGGGGAGGCGGGCGAAAGAGGAAGCCACGCGAGCCGAAGGUGGAUCGUUGUUGUCGGAUCGUGUGUGCAAAAGCGGGAAUAUCGACGCCAGACUGGCGGCCGUUAGUCGUGGCCUUGCCAUCGGCAGUUUAUUCACGAACCGGAAUAUCUGUUCGACCGUUCGUUCCUUGGCCAACUUCCAUUCUUUUCAACGCGCCUCGAACCAACCUCUCCUUCUCCUUCUUCGGUGAAGAGAGAGAGAGAGAGAGAGAGAGAGAGAGAGAAUGCACUUGUUACUUUCCCGAUUGCCCGAGAAGAGCGCACGUGCAUACGUACGCGGUGAGGUUAAGUUUGAUCGAGGCGUUGAAAGCGUCCCUUUGUUCGGAUCGGUCGGUGUCGGCUACUUGAAUUUGACGAACGACCGGAAAUUGAAAUUCAAGUGGAAGGUAAUUUGACUCGAAAACUCGAGGAAAAACUUUCCGUCUCGAUUCAGUUAUCGUUCGAGUAACUUGAAUCAAGUUAGGACGUGGUUAUUAAACAUGAUGAUGUGUGUUGUGGAAUGUGUAAUGAUAAAUCUAAUACCAUUGUAAUUUAUCUUAAACGAGGGCUUAUCUUGAUCUUGUUCUGUCCACGCGCAUAGAUGGUACGCAAAAUGGAGAAUAAAAUGAAAUACGAUACAAAUUGAA